AGCUCCUCGCCAGAGCUCCAGCCACCCUCGCUCCGUCGCAGGAGCUCCAGUCUUCAGAUGGAGUUCUUCAACUCUGCUGCGGGCAGAAACAUCACCUACGUGCGCCCGGCACACUUUACCAUCGGUGGCCUGGUAGGAAUCCCCAAUAUCCAAUACUACUACGUCUGCCUGGUCAUCAUUUACGUGGUGUCCAUGGUGGGGAACACCUUCGUGAUGGCUUUGAUCGUCUGGGAUCACAGCCUGAGAAACCCCAAGUACGUGGUGGUGUUCAACCUGGUGCUGUCCGACGUGCUCUUGAGCACCACGCUGGUGCCCAAGCUGCUGGACACUUUUCUCUUCGACCGCCACGACAUCUCCUACAGCAGCUGCCUGACCUACAUGUUCUUCAUGUUCGUCUUCACGUCCAUGCAGUCCUUGAACCUGGUGCUCCUGGCCUUCGACCGGCUGGUGGCCAUCAUGUUCCCGCUGCAGUACCCGGUCAGGAUCACCCACCGGGCCAUGCGCAGGCUGGUCCUGCUGAUGUGGCUCCUGUCCGCCACCCUCACGCUGACUGCGGUGGGGUUCAUCACCAGACUGUCCAUCUGCAGGUCCGUGGUGAUCAGGAGCUACUUCUGUGACCACGGACCCGUGUACCGGCUGGCCUGCAACGACUACACGCCCAGCAGGGUGAUCGCGAACGUCUGCUCGGCCCUGAUUCUCUGGAUUCCUCUGGUCUUCAUCCUCAUCACGUACUGCUUCAUCGCCAGGGCUUUGAUCAAAAUCUCCACGCUCCGAGAGCGAGUGAAGGGUCUGAAGACGUGCUCGGCUCACCUCACCCUGGUCUCCAUCUACUACCUGCCCGUCAUAUUCAUCUACCGCUUCGCUCCCGUGACUCAUCCGAACAUCCGGAUCAUCAACCUGUCUCUGACUUCCAUCCUGCCCCCCAUGCUGAACCCCAUCAUUUAUGUUCUGCAGACGCAGGAGAUCCAAGUGACUCUGAAGAGGCUGCGGAGAGUCGGCGGGCGCCGCCCGCUCCAGGUCAGAAAACAAGUCGUCAAGCCCAGCGAGGAUGGAAGGGACUCUUCCCCGCCUCACUGACACCAGAGAGUCAAAGACACACGCCACUUUCCUGUGAAGCAACAUGUGAAGGCAACACGCUCCUGUCUCUCCACAUCUCAAACCCAAGACCUCUGCCUUACCACAGCCCUCUUUCAUGUCUGUGUGACUCGAGUGUUUAGCUUAUAUGAAACUAAAAUCUGACAGGAAUCACUCACAGUUCCCUCUCUCAAACGUCGGGCGGACGAUCCCACAAUACUAUUCUGAACAUCACUGACAAGGUUUAAUUUAAUUCAGGUUUAAUUUAAUUCAGUUCUGAGACAAAUGUAAGGAUGUAUUUCCAUGAAAACGCUUGCAGGACAGAGAGUGAAACUCAAACACAGGUGCGCUUCAGUCUCACACCUGCUCCAGGAACCGUCAGUCUCACGUCUCAACUCGGCUGGAGACCUGCUCCGCUGGGUCGGAGUGGCGGGCUGACUCGGACUGCUUGAUCAGCUGCUGGCGACUCUUCUGGAAGCUGCUCAUGCAGUCCUUGAAGGCUUGCACGUGGCUCUGGCACAGGCGCCAGUCCUGCUGCUCCGCCAUACACUCCUGCAGGGCGUAGUGAAGCUGGGCGCAGCCGGUGCGAGAGAUCAUCCUGUCCAGCGGGUCGUCUUGCUCCUCGCUCCUGCUGCGGUCAUGAGAGGCCAUGGAGGCGAGUCCCACUGUCGGCAGGUGAAAGAAAGGUCACAGCUCUGCGUCGACACCACUGUCGCCAUCAUUGGGAAGACACGGAGAUACACAGGCUGCUGUUUGAAAACUAACAACACCGCGCUGGCCCUUCAGUCCACACGCUAACGAGGUUUCUCCCCACGAUUUCUCGGAUACAGCAGACAUUAUUUUGUGUAUUAUCAGAGAGACUGAACGCUCUAAUGUGAAACUCUGUCACGUGGAAACGUCUCAGCCACACGACCGCGACAGAUACAUGAUUAAACGUCCAGAUAUCGCGACGAUAAUGAAACACAAAUAUCCACGUUGAGCUCUAACAACAUUACAAAGCUCUUACCUUUAUCACACGUCUGUUUUGCCGUGAUUUCGUGUCAUAACGUGAGGAGGGUCAGUCGGAACCAUUUCAAUGUAGCACCAUUGUGCAGCUGACAAAUAGUUCCGUCUAGAAAAAGUUCCCCCAGCGCGAGUGAAAACGCGUCUCGAUGAUCUACUGCAGUGUGACGCGGCGAAACCGGACCUGAUCCAAUUAUAUUCAGCCUUCAUAUAUGUUCCUCCAUGUGUUAUGAGCCAGAAUGAAAGGUCACAGUGACCCCAGAACAAAAGGCGACCCCCGCUGCUCCUUGGAUCCUGGGAAUCCUGAGCCCCGAUUAGACGUCAUCAUCAAAGAGUUCUGGGUCGGGUUGCGGAGGCAGCAUUCGGAGCAGGGAAGCCCAAACUUCCUGGUCCGCACAAACCUCCUACAGCUCCUCCCGGGGGAUCCCGAGGCGUUCCCAGGCCAGAGCGGAGACAUCAUCUCUCCAG